GGGGCGGUGGCGAAAUGGCAGACGCAGCGGACUUAAAAUCCGCUGGGGGCAACCCCGUGAGGGUUCAAAUCCCUCCCGCCCUA
rnacentral:tRNA from 1 species